rnacentral:rRNA from 1 species
AGAGUUUGAUCCUGGCUCAGGAUGAACGCUGGCGGCGUGCCUAACACAUGCAAGUCGAACGGAACUUCUUUGACAGAAUUCUUCGGAAGGAAGUUGAUUAAGUUUAGUGGCGGACGGGUGAGUAACGCGUGAGUAACCUGCCUUUGAGAGGGGAAUAACUUCCCGAAAGGGAUGCUAAUACCGCAUGACGCAUAUUUAUCGCAUGGUAGAUAUGCCAAAGAUUUAUCGCUCAAAGAUGGACUCGCGUCCGAUUAGCCAGUUGGCGGGGUAACGGCCCACCAAAGCGACGAUCGGUAGCCGGACUGAGAGGUUGAACGGCCACAUUGGGACUGAGACACGGCCCAGACUCCUACGGGAGGCAGCAGUGGGGGAUAUUGCGCAAUGGGGGAAACCCUGACGCAGCAACGCCGCGUGAAGGAUGAAGGUUUUCGGAUUGUAAACUUCUUUUAUUUAGGACGAAGAAUGACGGUACUAAAUGAAUAAGCUCCGGCUAACUACGUGCCAGCAGCCGCGGUAAUACGUAGGGAGCAAGCGUUAUCCGGAUUUACUGGGUGUAAAGGGUGCGUAGGCGGCUUGGUAAGUCAGAUGUGAAAUGUAUGGGCUCAACCCAUGCACUGCAUUUGAAACUAUUGAGCUUGAGUGAAGUAGAGGUAGGCGGAAUUCCCUGUGUAGCGGUGAAAUGCGUAGAGAUAGGGAGGAACACCAGUGGCGAAGGCGGCCUACUGGGCUUUAACUGACGCUGAGGCACGAAAGCGUGGGUAGCAAACAGGAUUAGAUACCCUGGUAGUCCACGCUGUAAACGAUGAUUACUAGGUGUGGGGGGUCUGACCCCUUCCGUGCCGGAGUUAACACAAUAAGUAAUCCACCUGGGGAGUACGACCGCAAGGUUGAAACUCAAAGGAAUUGACGGGGGCCCGCACAAGCAGUGGAGUAUGUGGUUUAAUUCGAAGCAACGCGAAGAACCUUACCAGGUCUUGACAUCGAGUGACGAAUCUAGAGAUAGAUUUUUCCUUCGGGACACAAAGACAGGUGGUGCAUGGUUGUCGUCAGCUCGUGUCGUGAGAUGUUGGGUUAAGUC